GUGCCAGCCGCCGCGGUAAUACGUAAGAGGCAAGCGUUGUCCGGAAUCACUGGGCGUAAAGGGUACGCAGGCGGUCUAGCAAGUCAGAGGUGAAAGUCAUCGGCUUAACCGAUGAAGUGUCUUUGAAACUGUUAGACUUGAGAACAGGAGAGGAAAGUGGAAUUCCCGGUGUAGUGGUGAAAUACGUAGAGAUCGGGAAGAAUACCAAUGGUGAGAACAGCUUUCUGGCCUGUUACUGACGCUGAGGUACGAAAGCUAGGAUAGCAAACGGGAUUAGAUACCCUGGUAGUCC
rnacentral:rRNA from 1 species